UUUAGUUUUCUAUUCAAGUUAUUCGUUUCAAUCAACCAACUUUCGAGAUUAGAAACUGCAGCUUUAUCUGCUAAUUAGUUACUUUCUCAUAUAAGGGCAUAUGAAUUGUUCGUAUUAUACGAAUCUUCGAAAAAAUGAGAUGUCGGCAAAAAUUGAUGAACAGAGAAAUUUUCAAUAUUCGAGCUUUACGAUGAUGAAUUUCUGGUUACGAAACUCUUAGCCAAGUUUACUCAAAGCAAAAUGAUGUGGACAUGUGUUGAUCAAUAUUUAUCUCGGAUUCUCAGAGAAUAGUUCCAAUUUUCUGAUACAAACUGCUCCUAUAUCUAUGAUUUAGCGACUUCAAUGGUAUCCUCUGUGAAUCCCCUAUGUACUGAAUUUAUAGGUGAGGGUGAUAAGAUGUUGAUACAGUAGAAAAAAAUUAAAUGGGGAAAGAAUCAAAACUCUAGGAAAUUUUGAAAAAAAAAUCUGGGGUUAAAAAGGAUUUUGCUUGGUUAUUCUUGUGGGAUUCAGUAUCCUGUGAAAAGGGCUGCAAAUUUUAAGGGGUGCGAGAAAUCAAAAGGGAAAGAAAGAGCAAGGUAAAAGGUUAAAGGAAAAUAAUAAGGAAAGGAAGACAGAAAUGAGAACGGAAAAAAAACAAUUGCCCCGCCAUCUUUUGUUAAUGUAAUAUACUUUUGAGCUUCUUAAA